UACGAGGGGUGCAAGCGUUAUUCGGAAUUAUUGGGCGUAAAGGGUGUGUAGGUGGUUUGUUAAGUCAGCUGUUAAAUACUUCGGCCUAACCGAAGGUCAGCAGUAGAUACUGGCAAACUUGAGGAUGGAAGAGAGAAGUAGAAUUCUUGGAGUAGCGGUAAAAUGCGUAGAUCUCAAGAGGAACACCGAUGGCGAAAGCAGCUUCUUGGUCCAUUCCUGACACUAAGACACGAAAGCGUGGGUAGCAAACAGG
rnacentral:misc_RNA from 1 species